rnacentral:misc_RNA from 1 species
AUAACACCAUGUAAAGAAAGUAUAUGGACAUUGUCAAUUGUUGAAGCUCCAAAAAGAAUGGCACUCAGCAUAGGCACAUGAUCAACCAAGUGACUUCUUUGUCCACUAUGUGUAGAAGGAAUAGGAGGAGAAAGAAGCUUCACCACAUGGUGCACCACAUGUUCCUGAAUGUUCCAUCCACGAGUUAGGGAUGCACCACAAAGAACCUUGGCAGCUGCCGACUUCUCCUCUGCUGACCCAUUUAAUGCAA